CCUACGGGAGGCAGCAGUGGGGAAUAUUGCACAAUGGGCGAAAGCCUGAUGCAGCCAUGCCGCGUGUAUGAAGAAGGCCUUCGGGUUGUAAAGUACUUUCAGUUGUGAGGAAGGGUGUGUAGUUAAUAACUGCGCAUCUUGACGUUAGCAACAGAAGAAGCACCGGCUAACUCCGUGCCAGCAGCCGCGGUAAU
rnacentral:rRNA from 1 species